rnacentral:rRNA from 1 species
CCUAACACAUGCAAGUCGAGCGCGAAAGGCCUCGGGUUGAGUAGAGCGGCGGACGGGUGAGUAACGCGUAGGAGUCUACCUGGUAAUGGGGGACAACUCGGUGAAACUCGAGCUAAUACCGAAUACGCCCUAAGGGGGAAAGCCUGGGGAUCUUCGGAGCUCGCGCUAUUGGAUGAGCCUGCGUAGGAUCAGCUGGCUGGUGUGGUAAAGGCCUACCAAGGCGACGAUCCAUAGCUUGUCGGAUAGGAUGAUCAGCCACUCCGGGACUGAGACACGGCCCGGACUCCUACGGGAGGCAGCAAUGGCGAAUAUUGCGCAACUGGGGGCAACCCUGGCGCACCCAUGCCGCGUGUGUGACGAAUGCCUUCGGGUAGGACUGCACUUUCACUUGGGAAUAAACGCUGGCGGAUAAUACCCGCCAGAAUUGACAUUACCUUGAGAAGAAACACCGGCUAACUCCGUUCCAGCAUCCGCGGUACUACGGAGGGUACGAUCGUUAAUCGGAAUUACUGGGCGUAAAGCGCGCGUAGGGGGUUUGUUAAGUCGGAUGUGAAAUCCCCGGGCUCAACCUGGGAAUCGCACCCUAUACUGGACGACUGGAGUGCGAGAGAGGGAGGUAGAAUUCCACAUGUAGCGGGUGAAAUGCGUAGAUAUGUGCAGGAAUACCGGUGUCGAAGGCGGCCUCCUGGCUCGACACAGACGCUGAGGUGCGAAAGCGUGGGGAGCAAACAGGAAUAGAUACCCUGGUAGUCCACGCCGUAAACGAUGUCGACUAGCCGUCGGGGAACAUGAGUCCUUGGUGGCGCAGUUAACGCGAUAAGUCGACCGCCUAGGGAGUACGGCCGCAAGGUUAAAACUCAAGUGAAUGGACGGGGGCCCGCACAAGCGCUGGAGCAUGUGGUUUAAUUCGAUGCAACGCGAAGAACCUUACCAGGCCUGGACAGCCUCGGAAUCCUGCAGAGAUGCGGGAGUGCCUUCGGGAAUCAAGUGACAGGUGCUGCAUGGCUGUCUUAGGCUCGUCUCGUGAGAUGUUGGGUAAAGUCCCGUAACGAGCGCAACCCCUGUCCUUAGUUGCCAGCGCGUAAUGGUGGGUACUCUGAGGAGACUGACGGUGACAAACCGUAGGAAGGUGGGGACGACGUCAAGUCAUCAUGGCCCUUACGGCAUGGGCUACACACGUGCUACAAUGGAACGCACAGAGGGCACCGACCCCGCGAGGGUGA